rnacentral:rRNA from 1 species
ACGGAAGGCAGCAGUGGGGAAUAUUGGGCAAUGGGCGAAAGCCUGACCCAGCAACGCCGCGUGAAGGAAGAAGGCCUUCGGGUUGUAAACUUCUUUUACCAGGGACGAAGGACGUGACGGUGCCUGGAGAAAAAGCAACAGCCAACUACGUGCCAGCAGCCGCGGUAAUACGUAGGUUGCAAGCGUUGUCCGGAUUUACUGGGUGUAAAGGGCGUGUAGGCGGAGCUGCAAGUCAGAUGUGAAAUCCCGGGGCUCAACCCCGGAACUGCAUUUGAAACUGUAGCCCUUGAGUAUCGGAGAGGCAAGCGGAAUUCCUAGUGUAGCGGUGAAAUGCGUAGAUAUUAGGAGGAACACCAGUGGCGAAGGCGGCUUUCUGGACUGUAACUGACGCUGAGGUACGAAAGUGUGGGGAGCAAACAGGAUUAGAUACCCUGGUA